rnacentral:rRNA from 1 species
AUGGGGCGGGGGAAGACGCAAGUGAAGCUGAUAGAGGACCGGACGAGCCAGCAGGUGCCCUUCUCCAAGCUCCGCAGUGGCUUGCACAGGAAGGCUUUCCAGCUCUCCGUGCUCUGCGACGCCGAGAUCGCCCUCGUCGUCUUCUCCCCAGGCGGCAGGCUCUACGAAUUUGCCAACGCUGGGUAA